rnacentral:rRNA from 1 species
UACGUAGGGUGCGAGCGUUAAUCGGAUUUACUGGGCGUAAAGCGUGCGCAGGCGGCCCGUUAAGACAGGUGUGAAAUCCCUGGGCUCAACCUAGGAAUUGCGCUUGUGACUGGCGGGCUGGAGUACGGUAGAGGGGGGUGGAAUUCCUGGUGUAGCGGUGAAAUGCGUAGAGAUCAGGAGGAACACCGAUGGCGAAGGCAGCCCCCUGGGCCUGUACUGACGCUCAUGCACGAAAGCGUGGGGAGCAAACAGG